rnacentral:sRNA from 2 species
AUGUACCACUCGUACACUCCGGCUCUGAGCGCGCCGUCCGCACCCACCUGACGACCGCUCGCUACGUUUUAUUCGCC